AACCUCCGUCAGUCAGAGUCACAGUGAUUUGUGCUAGAAACACUGAAUAAGUUCAUUCACAAAUAUGAGGGCUGCAGCAGAUGAGAAGAUUUGAAGUCAAUAACAUCAUUUUAGAGCUUCAGACGACUGAGAAUAUCGAGCACAGAUACCCUGAAGACAUCAAACAAGUGAUCAACAGAAUUUGGAUUCAUCAGAUUGUUGAGAAGAUAUAGUUUUAUAAGUGUAUUGAGCCAUGGCUAAAUGAACUAUCUUCUAAACGCUUUGACUAAUUAAAAUCCUUUUGAUAA